GAUGAACGCUGGCGGCGUGCCUAAUACAUGCAAGUCGAGCGAACAGAUGCGGCGCUUGCUCCUCUGACGUUAGCGGAGGACGGGAGAGUAACACGUGGAUAACCUACCUAUAAGACUGGGAUAACUUCGGGAAACCGGAGCUAAUACCGGAUAAUAUAUUAAACCGCAUGGUUCAAUAGUGAAAGACGGUUUUGCUGUCACUUAUAGAUGGAUCUGCGCCGCAUUAGCUAGUUGUUAAGGUAACGGCUUACCAAGGCAACGAUGCGUAGCCGACCUGAGAGGGGGAUCGGCCACACUGGAGCGUGAACACGGUCCAGACUCCUACGGGAGGCAGCAGUAUGGAACCGUCCGCAGUGGGCGAAAGCAUGACGGAGCAACGCCGCGUGAGAGAUGAAGGUCUUCGGAUCGUAAUACUCUGUUAUGAGUGAAGAACAAAUGUGGAAGGAACUAUGCACGUCGUGACGGUAACGAGUCAGAAAGCCACGGCUAACUACGUG
rnacentral:rRNA from 1 species